UUUGAACACUUCAGAAACGUUGGGAUAAUUUUGUUAACCUGGGUAUAGAUCCCUCAGAGAGAAUCGAAAUGACCUUACUAAAUCAACAAGUAACGCGGUAGAUAUUUGGAAUAAACAUAUUUACUAGGGUAAGGAAGGUUGCAUACCGUAUGCUAAUUCAAAGAUUUAUUUGAUUUAAAUAUUGGAAUUCAAAUUUGCGCAUGUCCCGACUAACAGAACGGUAAAGAGAUCGAGAACGAAGGAGUCGAGAAGAUUAGCUGGUACAAAAUUUUUCGUUGGUUUAUCAAAAGCAGCGAAAUCACAUUCCUGUACUUGUUGAUAUGUAAAGGAAUUUUGGAGGCUGUUCUGGGAAGAAGAUCUGUCAGGCCUCCAUACCUUAUCAUAUCAAUAACGCCGUUUUUACAUAGAAAUUGGUAACACGGAGAUUACUAUUAAUCACAAUAAUUCAUUGGUGCAGUUGGAUAGGAAAUGGUGAAUAAAUAAUUUUCACCUUGGACUUCAAUCAGUUGGAUCCUAAGGUCAGACCGAAUCUAUUUUUUAUUUCAUAUGGAAAUUGUGCAAGGACGUAGGAGAAAUUUCCCCGUGUACCGUUAGAAUUCCAGCAUAUAUCCCUUCCUGGAUUAAUUAACCUUCCCUCCCUGAUUUUGCAAAAGGCGAGCUCUGGAUUAGAAAAGA